rnacentral:rRNA from 1 species
GUUGUAUGGUUAAGUGACUAAGCGUACACGGUGGAUGCCUUGGCAGUCAGAGGCGAUGAAGGACGUAGUAACUUGCGAUAAGCGUAGAUGAGGCAGUAACAGCCACUUGAGUCUACGAUUUCCGAAUGGGGAAACCCACUGGCAUAAGCCAGUAUCAUUGAGUGAAUACAUAGCUCAAUGAAGCGAACCGGGAGAACUGAAACAUCUAAGUACCCCGAGGAAAAGAAAUCAACCGAGAUUCCGAAAGUAGCGGCGAGCGAAAUUGGAUUAGCCCUUAAGCUUUACAUGUGUUAGACGAACGGUCUGGAAAGUCCGACGAUACAGGGUGAUAGUCCCGUAGUUGACGAUGCAUGUUCAGUGAAAUCGAGUAGGGCGGGACACGUGUUAUCCUGUCUGAAUAUGGGGGGACCAUCCUCCAAGGCUAAAUACUCCUGACUGACCGAUAGUGAACCAGUACCGUGAGGGAAAGGCGAAAAGAACCCCUGUGAGGGGAGUGAAAUAGAACCUGAAACCGUGUACGUACAAGCAGUAGGAGCACCUUCGUGGUGUGACUGCGUACCUUUUGUAUAAUGGGUCAGCGACUUAUAUUCAGUGGCAAGGUUAACCAUCUAGGGGAGCCGUAGGGAAACCGAGUCUUAACUGGGCGUCAUAGUCUCUGGAUAUAGACCCGAAACCGAGUGAUCUAGCCAUGGGCAGGUUGAAGGUUGAGUAACAUCAACUGGAGGACCGAACCGACUAAUGUUGAAAAAUUAGCGGAUGACUUGUGGCUAGGGG